UGGUGGAAUGAUGAUGUCCAGAAGGCGCUUAAAGAGAAGAAAGAUUGCUUCAGACGCCUAUACCUGGAUAGGAGUGCAGACAACAUAGAGAAGUACAAGAUGGCGAACAAGGCCGCAAAGCGAGCUGUUGGUGAAGCAAGGGGUCGGGCAUAUGAGGACCUCUACCAACGGUUAGGCACGAAGGAAGGUGAAAGGGACAUCUAUAAGAUGGCUAAGAUCCGGGAGAGGAAGACGAGGGAUAUUGGCCAAGUCAAAUGCAUCAAGGACGGAGCAGGCCAACUCUUGGUGAAGGACGAAGAGAUUAAGCAUAGAUGGCGGGAGUACUUCGACAAGCUGUUCAAUGGGGAGAAUGAGAGUUCUACCAUUGAACUGAAUGACUCCUUUGAUGAGACCAGCAUGCGUUUUGUGCGGCGCAUCCAGGAGUCUGAGGUGAAGGAGGCUUUAAAAAGGAUGAAAGGAGGCAAGGCGAUGGGCCCUGAUUGUAUCCCCAUUAAGGUGUGGAAAGGUCUCGGGGACAUAGCGAUAGUAUGGCUAACAAAGCUUUUCAAACUCAUUUUUCGGGCAAACAAGAUGCCAGAAGAAUGGAGACGGAGUAUAUUAGUACCAAUCUUCAAGAACAAGGGGGAUGUUCAGAGUUGUACUAAUUACCGUGGAAUUAAGCUGAUGAGCCAUACAAUGAAGCUAUGGGAGAGAGUCAUUGAGCACCGCUUAAGAAGAAUGACAAGCGUGACCAAAAAUCAGUUUGGUUUCAUGCCUGGG
rnacentral:rRNA from 1 species